AACGAACGCUGGCGGCGUGGAUAAGACAUGCAAGUCGAACGAGAGAAUUGCUAGCUUGCUAAUAAUUCUCUAGUGGCGCACGGGUGAGUAACACGUGAGUAACCUGCCCCCGAGAGCGGGAUAGCCCUGGGAAACUGGGAUUAAUACCGCAUAGUAUCGAAAGAUUAAAGCAGCAAUGCGCUUGGGGAUGGGCUCGCGGCCUAUUAGUUAGUUGGUGAGGUAACGGCUCACCAAGGCGAUGACGGGUAGCCGGUCUGAGAGGAUGUCCGGCCACACUGGAACUGAGACACGGUCCAGACACCUACGGGUGGCAGCAGUCGAGAAUCAUUCACAAUGGGGGAAACCCUGAUGGUGCGACGCCGCGUGGGGGAAUGAAGGUCUUCGGAUUGUAAACCCCUGUCAUGUGGGAGCAAAUUAAAAAGAUAGUACCACAAGAGGAAGAGACGGCUAACUCUGUGCCAGCAGCCGCGGUAAUACAGAGGUCUCAAGCGUUGUUCGGAAUCACUGGGCGUAAAGCGUGCGUAGGCUGUUUCGUAAGUCGUGUGUGAAAGGCGCGGGCUCAACCCGCGGACGGCACAUGAUACUGCGAGACUAGAGUAAUGGAGGGGGAACCGGAAUUCUUGGUGUAGCAGUGAAAUGCGUAGAUAUCGAGAGGAACACUCGUGGCGAAGGCGGGUUCCUGGACAUUAACUGACGCUGAGGCACGAAGGCCAGGGGAGCGAAAAAGAGUAGAUACCCCUGUAGUCCUGGCAGUAAACGGUGCACGCUUGGUGUGCGGGGGAAUCGACCCCCCGCGUGCCGGAGCUAACGCGUUAAGCGUGCCGCCUGGGGAGUACGGUCGCAAGAUUAAAACUCAAAGAAAUUGACGGGGACCCGCACAAGCGGUGGAGUAUGUGGCUUAAUUCGAUGCAACGCGAAGAACCUUACCUGGGCUUGACAUGUAAUGAACAACAUGUGAAAGCAUGCGACUCUUCGGAGGCGUUACACAGGUGCUGCAUGGCCGUCGUCAGCUCGUGUCGUGAGAUGUUUGGUUAAGUCCAGCAACGAGCGCAACCCCUGUUGCCAGUUACCAGCACGUGAAGGUGGGGACUCUGGCGAGACUGCCCAGAUCAACUGGGAGGAAGGUGGGGACGACGUCAGGUCAGUAUGGCCCUUAUGCCCAGGGCUGCACACGUACUACAAUGCCCAGUACAGAGGGGGCCGAAGCCGCGAGGCGGAGGAAAUCCUAAAAACUGGGCCCAGUUCGGACUGUAGGCUGCAACCCGCCUACACGAAGCCGGAAUCGCUAGUAAUGGCGCAUCAGCUACGGCGCCGUGAAUACGUUCCCGGGUCUUGCACA
rnacentral:rRNA from 1 species